rnacentral:rRNA from 1 species
UACGGAGGGUGCGAGCGUUGUCCGGAAUCAUUGGGCGUAAAGGGCGCGUAGGUGGCCCGGUCAGUCUUUGGUGAAAGCGCGGGGCUCAACCCUGCGUCGGCCAGGGAUACUGCCGCGGCUCGAGCACUGUAGAGGCAGGCGGAAUUCCGGGUGUAGCGGUGGAAUGCGUAGAGAUCCGGAAGAACACCAGUGGCGAAGGCGGCUCACUGGCCCGGUACUGACGCUGAGGUGCGAAAGCGUGGGGAGCAAACAGG